UCUAUUUUUGUCCUUUUUUUUUUUUUUUUUUUUUUUUUUUUUGCUGGAGUGCAGUGGUGCCAUCUCAGCUUACUGGCAAGCUCUGCCUCCCGGGUUCACCACCUUCUCCUGCCUCAGCCUCCCGAGUGAGUAGCUGGGACUACAGGCACCCGCUAGCCACCAUGCCUGGCUAAUUUUUUGUAUUUUUAGUAGAGACAGGGUUUCAUCGUGUUAGCCAGGAUGGUCUCGAUCUUGACCUUGUGAUCCACCCUCGUCGGCCUCCCAAAGUGCUGGGUAUUUUUGCACUUUUUAAAAACUUUUUAAAUGUUUUGUUAAAAGCUAGGACAAAAUUACAUUGGCACAGACCUAUGCAGGGACAGGAUUAUCAGUAUUACUGUUUUCCAUAUCCACAUCUUUUCCUACUGAAUGUUCUUCAUUCCGUCUGCAGGGACAGUAACAUGCAUGGAAUACCAAGGCAUACCAAUGCCUUCUUCUGGAAUACCUCUUGAAAGAGCCUGCUUCAGGCUGUUUUACAGUUAGCUUUCUUUUGUAAGUAGAAGGAGUAUACUCAAAAAUAAUGAUUAAAAGUAUAGUAUAGUAAAUAUAUAAACCAGUAACAUCAUUGUUUAUUAUAAUGAUCAAGUAUUAUGUACUGUACAUAAUUGUAUGUGCUGUACUUUUGCAGGACUGGCAGCACAGCAGCGUCCUCACAAACACCUGAGUAAUGCAUUAGGCAAGGACAUUACAAUGGCUCUGCAUCACUAGGCAGCAGGAAUUUUUCAACUCCCUUAUAAUAUUUUUGUUUUUUCCCUUUCCAACUUUUAUUUUAGGUUCAAGGGGUCCAUGUGCAGGUUUGUUACAUGGAUAAAUUUUGUGCUUUAGGGGUUUGGUGUACAGAUAAUUUUGUCAUGCAGGUAAUCAGCAUAAUAAUAGUCCCCUCCUUCUACCCUCCACCCUCAAGUAAGCCCUGGUGUCCACUGUUUCCUUCUUCAUGUUCAUAUGUGCUCAAUGUUUAGCUCCCACUUAGCAGGGAGAACAUGUGAUAUUUGUUUUUCUGUUUCUAUGUUAAUUCACUUAGGAUAAUGGUCUCCAGCUCCAUCCAUGUGGCCACAAAGGACAUGAUUUGUCUUUUUAUUGGCUGCACAAUAUUCCAUACUACAUAUGUGCUACAUUUUCUUUAUCUAGUCCACUGUUGAUGGGCAUCUAGGUUGGUGUCAUGUCUUUGAUAUUAUGAAUAGUGCUGUGAUUAACAUACAUGUGUGAGUGUCUCUAUGGCAGAACAAUUUCUGUUCCUUUGGAUAUGUAACCAGUAAUGAGAUUGCUGGGUUGAAUGGUAGUUCUAUUUGAAAUUCUUUGAGAAAUCUUCAAACUGCUUUCCACAGUGAUCACGGCAAUCAAGCAAGAGAAAGAAAUAAAAGGGAUCUAAAUAGAAAGAGAGGAAAUUAAACUACUUCUCUUUGAAAACUAUAUGAUUUCAUACCUAGAAAACCCCAUAGUCUGCCCAAAUGCUCCUGUCUCUGUGAACAACUUCAGCAAAGUUUCAGGAUACAAAAUCAAUGUACAAAAGUUAGUAGCAUUUCUACACAUCACUAACAUCCAAGCUGAGAGUCAAAUCAAGAAUGCAAUUCCAUUCACAAUAGUCCAUUAUAAUCUUAUGGAGCCACUGUGUAUAUGUGAUCCAUCAUUGACUGAAAUGUCAUUAUUUGCUAUAUGUCUGUCUGUAUUUACUCUUCCCUCUGAAUUCAAAAAUCCCCUUGUUCUGAUAUUCAGAUGAUAGUGAUAUUUUAGUCUUCGUUCAUGCAUUGAAAUGCUAUAUGAAAAGUAGGCAUACAAAUUCUCGAAGAUCACUGUAUAUAUCUCCCUUGCUUAGGGAUUCUUAUUCUUUACUCUUCUUAUUUUAUAUACUCUGUUUAGUUGAUUACAAGGAAAACAAACUCAGCAAGAUCAAACUUGAAUGCAUCAUCUCUCUCUUCCAAUCAUCUACUCCCUCUUUUCGCUUUUGAUCAAUGAAGUCCCACAAAGAAACCUGGUGGUCAUCCUGUUCUUUACUACUUCCCCCCCCAGCAAACACCCAGACAUAGCCAAUGACCCAGUAGGUCUUAUAUAUUCCACCCUCAUUACCAUCUAUCUAUCCUUACAUUGCACCUAGAGUGAAUUAAAACAAACAAAAAACCCAUUUUGAGAUAAUUAUAAAUUCACAUGCAGUUGUGAGAAAUAAUAGAGAUUCUUUAUGUAUGUCACCUAGUUUUCCCCAAAGGUAACAUCUUGCAUAUUAUAGUAUAGAAUCACAUACUGGAAAUUGACAUUGAUACUCUGUUAGUCCAGUCAAACUACUAUAAAAUAUACCAUAAAAUCAGUGUCUUAUAAACAACAGAAAUUUAUUUCUCACGGUUCUGAAGGGUGGAGAAUCCAAGGUAAAGGAGCCAGUAAAUUCAGUGCUUGCUGAGGGCCUGCUUUAUGGUUCAGCCUCUGUGGGAGGGUAGGAGCCUGCUUUCUAUAAGCACCAGUAACAAACUCAGAUGGGUUUAACAUGGAGCAACCCCGCUUUCCAAUUUUUGUAAUUUUUCCACUUCCCUGACUUUACUGAGUCUCUGCUCACCAGCCCUGCAUUCCUUCAUUCUUCCUUUAAAAUGCCUGGUGACCUCUGUACAAAUUGAUCUCCACUUUAACUAGUGUCCUUCCAGCUUUGACAGGUUUUUCUUUGACAGUAGUGAUAUUUCAUUAUGGUUUUAAUUUGCAUUCCUCUAAUGGCUAAUUUUGUUGAACAUAUUUUUAUGCUCGUAUUUGCCAUCUGCAUAUACUCUUCAGUAAAAUGUGUUACCCUUUUGCACAUUUUAUUUUGUUUUGUUUUAUACUGUUGACUUUUGAGAGCUUCUUAUAUAUUCUAAAUAAUUGUCCUGUGUCGCAUAUGUUGUUUGCAAAUACUUUCUUAUAGUCUGUAACCACAGGGACUUUUGCUAAACAAAAUUUUUUUCAUCCUGGUAUGCUCCAAUUUAGAGAUUUUAUAUUUUGUGAAUCAUGCUAUUGGUGUGAAGUCUAAGAACUCUUCCUAGUCCCAAGACUCGAAGAUUUUCUCUGCUUUUUUCUAAAUAUUUUAUAGUUUUACAUUUUAAAAUUAAGUUUAUGAUCUAUUUUCAGUUAAUUUCUUUAUAAACAAAACUUUCGUGGAGUUUUAGUAGAUAUUAUAUUAUAAUUUGGAAAUUGACCUUGCUAGUAUUUCUUUUGAGUCUUUUAAUCUGUGAACAUGGUAUGUUUCUUCAUUUAUUUGUUUUUUUAAUUAUUUUAUCAGCAUUUUGUAAUUUUCAAGAUGCUGUAUAUGUUUUUAUUAGGCUUAUGCCUAAAUAUUUUAUUGCCUUUGGAGCAAUUAUAAAUAGUAUUGUGUUUUUUAAAAUUUCAAUUUCCAUAUGUUCAUUGUUAGCAUAUAGAAAUGCAAUUUGUUUUUGUGUAUCAAUUUUGUGUCCUGCAAUUUUGUUGUACUUCCUUAUUAAUGCGUGAGUUUUCUAUGUACAAAAUCAUAUCAACCUGCAAAUAGGGUCAGUUUUCUUUCUUUGCAAUGUGUAUAACAUUUAUUUAGAGUGUUAUGUUUUAAUGAACUCAUAAUCAUAUCUCACCCCUUUCAAUAGCCUCCCUUUUUUUCAUAAAUUAAUCCUUAGAAGAGAAUAUAGACUGUUCAGGAUCUCUACUUCCUCUACUCUGUAAACCUCAUCCCAUGAUAUUUUAACAUUAACCUACUUCACAGUCUGGCUCAGCUGUUUUUAGUUUGCAGAAUUUAAUGUGUUUUACCUUGAUCCUGGGUCUUGGUGCAUGCAUCCUUUCCCCCAGUUACCAGCUACUCAGCUCAAGAUUCACAUCCUCCAGAAACCAUGGACUAACCUCUUCAAAAUGAUGUCCAACUUAUCUGCUUUGUCAGAGUCUGUAACAGCUCGAAUAAGACCUGUUUGUGUCAUUCUGUUUCUUAGCCACUACACUGUAACUUCCUUGAGAGAAGGCGUUGGCCUUUUAGCUCUAGAUCCUAAGUAUUUGUUAUCAUGCUUGGCACAUGGUAGAAAUACAGUGAAGGUUUGUUGAAUGAGUGAAUAAAUACUCUAAUUAGAUAGUUAAUAUAUACCUUUUUUUCCAUUAGAGAUUAUUAAUCUAACUCUCCAAAAAAUGUUCUUAAACAAUCAACCUGAUUUACUACCAAGAUGUUCAAUGGAUAAAAAAAUUUACCUCAGCAGUGAGCCACACUUGUAUGACUCUGUAAAAAGUCCUUUCUCAAUGUAUUUACUAUAGUUAAUUCUCAAAAAGGCUUUGUGAGAUGUGUAUUAUUCCAAUGCUUAUUUUUCCCAAAGGGAAACAAAGCUCAAGGAGGUUAAAUCAUUUUCCAGGAUUAUAUUAUACAACUAAGUGACUGAAGCUGACUCACUGCCAGGACUUCUGACCCUAAAGUAUAUAUUAUUUUAGCUCCAUAAAUACAUCAACAGACGUCUGCAAUAGUAAAGUCUGCAUGCCAAUUUGUUUUUCCCAAUACUGGUGAUAAAUUUGCACAGAUAGGUGUAAACUCUCUUACUUGUCCCCCAGGUAUCUCUCUGAGGUCUUUGACAGGGCCAGAAAUAAGUCUGUGCUCAUAGGGAAGGAGAGCACCACAUCUACUCGUCCCAUAUUUUAACCAGUUAUACCAACUUCCCAGAAGGAUGGAUUUAAAUUGCUAGAUGAUCUAUUUUAAAUAAGAUAAAUUUAGUAUAUCUGACUACAUCCUUAGAAUCUCUUUCCAGAUAACUCUUUUUUUGAGUCUCUAUUAGAUUAUUUUUAACAUACUAUCAUCUUAAUUUUAAAAGAUAGUAGUUCUGAAUUAAAAAAGAAAUUCAAUCAACAUGUAAAAUGAGCAAAACCUUUAGCCAGUCAUUGAGUUAUGUACAUUAACUUUUGACUGAAGUCUAGCAGCUUCAAAUUUUUAUGUAUUAAUGUUUUUCAUAAAACACUAUAUUUGUUUAUAUUGUGAACUACCAAAGAAAAAACUACCAAGGAAAAAUACCAAAAUAUUUGAUCAUGAAUUGUAAACAUUUCAUAAAAACUAUGACUAUGUAGAAAAAAUAUAUAGUAUAUUUUUAAUUUACUUUCUGGGUUCCAUAUUAUUUUGAGUUUGGCAGAGAAGCUUUAUCCUGUGGUAAUUUUUUUGUACUCUUUAUUCAUUGGAAAAUAUACACAGCUGUCUGUUUGUUUGUUUGUUUGUUUUUAACCUUUGUUCCUGGGGAAACAAAAUCUGAUAUACUAGCAAGAUAAGGGGUACAUAUAAAAGUCACAGCAUAGCUAAGGCUAGUUAAAUACUUAAAACAUAUUUGAGCUUUCAAAAACUUCACAGUAUCCCUAGGAUAUGGUCUUCAGGGAAAGGGCAGUGACCCUGUGUCUUUCUUUAGACUAUUAUUAAAAAGACAAGUUGGCAGUCUGAGCUCAGUUUCUUUUACCCCAUUUAUUAAUACCGUCAAAGUCUUUUGCAAAGUCCUCUUCAAAAGAUCUUCCCCUUUUCAAGUUUUAGACCUUGAAGAGUUCCUAUUAAAAAUAACCCAUUUACAGGGACUUUAUUCUUCAUAUACAGAAAGUCUUAAAUAUAUUUUAUAUAAUGAAAUGGACUAAAUUCUCAAAGUUCCCACAAUGCUAUUCUGAGAAUGUGUCACAGUCUAUGUGAUUGGAACUCAACAUGUUAAAUUAAGACUAGCAAAUUUGAAAAUAGGUAUACAAAAUCUAACCAUCAUGUUACAGUCUCAAUUCUGCCUCAUGAGAUGACUGUUGUUAUGAAGGAACUCAGUGGUUCUUUUAAUAUAAAGAAUAUUUGUGUUGAGAAGGUAGACCUCAUGUUAACUGUUCUUACCACCCAAAACAGAGGGCACAGUGAAACUUUGGAAGGUGUUGGAUAUGUCUAUUACCUUGAUUGUGAUAAUGGGCCAAACUCAUCAAAUUGUACAUAUUACAUAUGUGUGGGUUUUGUACAUCAACCGUACUUUAAUAAAUCUGGUAAAAAUGAUAAUUUUGUUAUUAAAAUAUUCUUGGUAUCAUGAAUGCUGAUGCACUUGUUGUGCUAUGACUUAAGAAUGUAGGGGGCAAAUUAGAAGGAAAAAAUUACUUACUGGAGAAGAGCAAAUUCUUGCAUAUGGUACUAACAAUGGCGAAAAAGAUAAAUUACUUCCAAAUCGUUUAUGGCCAUUGAAAACCUGAAAGAAGUCUUACGAGGUUUUCAUCAUUUAAGAAGCCACAUUCUGCGAGAAGACUGGCGAUUAAUUUGCUUGUUUACUUUCUUUAAAACCACUUGAUAUACUCUAGCAAGCCACUUCGAUACACAAAGUAUAUUUAAUUCAUUAUUUUUAUACACCAUUAUGUGGUUGGCUUUAAUAAAUCACUCAAAGUAGUAGAGUUUAAAGAAAAGCAAAACAAUAGAAUACUUAAAAUUAUUUAGUUAAAAGAAGAUCCCUUAAUUACCCCACUUUUAGAAAAUGAUAAUAUAUAAUUUUUUUGUUUAUGACUUAGCCUGCAUUUAGAUUUUAAUUUAAACCAAGAAAAUUAUUUAUUAGAGGGUUAUUAAGCAGGUUUUACAUUGCAGCUGUUCCAGUCCUUCAGGUAAAUACUCAUUGAGAGAGCUUAUUAAAGUUUGCUCUACUUAUUUAUGUUUAAAUUCUUAUUCUUUUUCCCUUGUGUGAAACCUUUGUGGGGGCAGAACUCCAACUGAUUUUAAACAGAGUUCUGUGCAGAAAGGAUCUGUGGAGAGCAACAAACCUGGAAUGCUUAUUAACUAUGUGCAGGAGAAAUCUAAGAAGAAACUAAGAGGAAAAAAAAGAGGCUUCUCCAACUGAAGGAUGCAAUAAAAAAGUAAAUGAAAUGUGCAUAAGAUGACUUGUGAGAAAAAAUGUUACUAUGCAUGAUAAUCUGAAUGUUGCGUAUGGAAGGCUAAGAUGAAAAAGGUAAGUGACAGAUGUUGAGCCCAGUGACUGGAAGAAUAAUUAUAACAAACAGGAAGUAGAAGGAAAAUGUAUUUAGGGGAAAAGAUGGCUAUCUUUCAUACUGGUGUGUUAAGAUAGCUGUUGUAGUAGGCUCUAAAUGCAGGAGAUAGAAGCGUUUAAUGAAAGACUUGAGCUUACUGUCCUAGAUCUUCUAGAAAUUUGCUCUUUGAUAUUAAACCUUUGGAAAUUAAUAUCUUGUUCUACAUCCUCAAUUUCACUUCCAGUUCUCUUAGAUGCAGUAAGCUUAUCUUGGCAGGGUGGGGGUGGGGGAGUACUUUAAACAUAUGUUUGAUAUCAACAGUAAUAAUACAUUUAUAACCUCUCUCUCCCUAACUGAGAAAUACAUUCUCAUCAAAAUAACCAGUGGAAUAUUUAUUUAAAGAAUAUAACAAUAUUUAAAAUUUUCUGUUGUUAUAUAUUAGGACCAUGGAGAAUAGAAACAAAUAUGCUAUAUAUAGUCUUUUAAAUCAUACAUAUAUAAGUCAAAUAUAUACAUGUAAAUAUAUAUCUACAUCUAUAUUAACUUUCUAAAUAUACACCCACUACUGCCACUCUUCAUUUAGCCUCCAAUACUCUGCCAGCCACCGCUACCACUGUUUCAUGCCUGUGUAGACACCCUCCUCUCCCUGCCCCAAGAUCCACAGUUCUGCCUUGGUUCUCCCUCUGUUUGAAUGCCCUCCCACCCUACUGGGCUCUAACAGAACAUGCUGGGGUGCCUACCAAUAGUGAUGCCUUCCUCAUCCUCAUCCUACUUGGAUUCCAGCAUCAUGUGCUGGUCUGCUCCUACUCUGGAUUUUCUGCUUACCAGACUCAGCUCUAACACUCUGCUUCAGGCCACCACAGCUCAACCUACCUCCUUUCUACUUGACAUCUUGACACAUAUUUGCAUAUGGUACUAACAAUGGCAAAGAAGAUAAAUUACCUACUUAAUGAUAUUCAGAGUGAAUUAUUUAGGAAGAGAAUAGGAUGGAAAAGGGGAUAAGAUAUAAAUACUAAAUUAAGUAGAAAUAGGACUUUAUGAUCCUUUCAAAAGACUUUUGCCAAGUGAGUUAUAUUUUCCAAGUUCUAUGUAAAAGAUAUUCAGGAGUAAUAUGGGAGAGAAGGCUAAAUAUAUUGGCUAUUGCACUCCAAAGCAGAAAAUCCUAUGAAAUAUUUAAGUCUGGGAGCACUGAACACCAUCAGCUAACUUUCCAGGAAUCAGAAACAGAUUCUUUAGAGGAUUACUUCCUGUACAAAAAAAGCAAAAACUAAUAUAGCAGGCCUCAGCCUGCUAUCUUUAGAAAGGUGACUUGAGGCCGGGCUCGGUGGCUCACGAUUGUAAUCUCAGCACUUUGGAGGACCAAGGUGGGCGGAUCACUUGAGGUCAGGAGUUCGAGACCAGCCCGGGCAACAUGGCAAAACCCCCAUCUCUACUAACAGUACAAAAAUUAGCUGGGCAUGGUGGCGCAUACCUGUAAUCCUAGCUACUUAAGAGGCUGAGGUACGAGAAUCCCUUGAAACUGGAGGCAGAGGUUGCAGUGAGCUGAGAUCGCGCCACUGCAUUCCAGCCUGGGCGACAGACCAAGACUCUGUCUCCUUCCCAAAAAAUAAAUAAAUAAAAUAAAAUAAAA